rnacentral:rRNA from 1 species
ACUCCUACGGGAGGCAGCAGUGGGAAUAUUGCACAAUGGGCGCAAGCCUGAUGCAGCAACGCCGCGUGAGGGACGACGGCCUUCGGGUUGUAAACCUCUUUUAGCAAGGAAGAAGCGAAAGUGACGGUACUUGCAGAAAAGCGCCGGCUAACUACGUGCCAGCAGCCGCGGUAAUACGUAGGGCGCAAGCGUUAUCCGGAAUUAUUGGGCGUAAAGAGCUCGUAGGCGGUCUGUCGCGUCUGCUGUGAAAACCCGAGGCUCAACCUCGGGCCUGCAGUGGGUACGGGCAGACUAGAGUGCGGUAGGGGAGAUUGGAAUUCCUGGUGUAGCGGUGGAAUGCGCAGAUAUCAGGAGGAACACCGAUGGCGAAGGCAGAUCUCUGGGCCGUAACUGACGCUGAGGAGCGAAAGGGUGGGGAGCAAACAGGAUUAGAUA